rnacentral:misc_RNA from 1 species
GCAAACUUGGUCAUUUAGAGGAAGUAAAAGUCGUAACAAGGUUUCCGUAGGUGAACCUGCGGAGGGAUCAUUAACAAACAUUUUAUUGUCACUGUGCAAAUGUCUGUUCCUGGGAGAGAGCGUGCGUUGUGUGAGCUGCAUGGGGACGCAGACGCGCGCACACGCUCCACCAGGACCCACACACACACACUACCAGUUUAUGAUGCAUGGGAACGCAAACAACUUUUAACAAUGGAUCUCUUGGCUCUCGCAUCGAUGAAGAACGCAGC